CCCGGAGCGUGACGAAGCGUGACGAGCCGCCCCAGCUGAGUGUGCUGAGUGCUGCGACGUCACCCUUGCCGUCUGAGAUAGGGGCUCCGUUCAGUGAAGGGGAGAAAGGCCUUAGUUGUUUUUCUUUAUUUUACAUUAUUUCACCGGAAACUGCGUUUGUUUUCAUAUUGUGUUUUUCUGUUGACAAUAACUUUGAGAUUUCGGCGCUUUCCCAGUGUGAGUGGUUUGAGGUUGGCAAGAGUGGAUACCCAACCCGACCGGACCGGAGGAAUGGAGUGGAAGUGGAGUGUGGAGUGGCCGAGGUGCACGAAGUAGCGGUUGACCCAAGCCAAAGGAUUAUUUGUACAUUUUCUACGCAAGAAAGGGUUGCGAAUUUAAAGGUCAGUUGUAAGACGUGGAGCUAGGAGUGCGCACUAAGUUUUAUAUUGAUAUUUCUUAGAGUGACGACCUAACCUAACUUUUGACCAAAGAACAACAACAACAAAACUGAGAGCUUCUAGGCUUCUGCAAUGUUUGCGCUCUGUACAUCUUUUAUGUUAUUAAAGUUCAGGCGUCUCUGAAUCUAGGCCUACGUUUGGCUCUGCUGUGCGGGGCUGCCACUGCACCUGCAAGUACAGCUGGGUCCAGAUACGUGGGUGGGUAUCAUGGGUGAUAGGCAGUCUCCUCCACAUGAAGUUAAAUUUGCCGAGUGCCGAGUUUUGUUUCCAAAAACACCUUUACGCCACAUACUCCGUGCGGCCGACCUUCGCCUGCUCGACGCCACGCCGCCGCCGCCGCGCCGCCGUUGUGCCCUCGUCGGGCUCCUCGGCAUACAUACAUGGAAGGGGAAACAAUGGACGUGGAUGGACGGAUGCCCUGCCCUGCCCUGGCUCGCCUCACCGGCCGGGCCGACUUGGGCCCCGGAGCAGAGCGGAGCCAGCGGACCCGGCGGAGCCGAGAGGAAGGUGGUCCGAAUCAGAGCGUGAAAACGGAGCAUUCUGGAGAGGCAUGAGAGUCACCGUCGUCUGCAAUGGGACUGCCAAUUUCGUGCCUCUUUGGAGGAGGCAUUCUAAAAAGAAUUCCCAAAUUUUGUCAAGCAAGAGGCGCGACCACGGCGUUCACGAAGCUGCCCAAGUGCGGAAGGGCGCCUCCUCCUCGGCCGCCCUAAUUGUCCAGCUCCCGGAGUGAGAUUGAAAGGAGCUGCGCGUCCCAAAUCUCGAGAGUGCAUUUCCAUACGAGCGUGCGGCACGCAACGACGCGCCGUCCGGUCCAGGUGUGUGGCAGCCCCGCAGGGCAACCCCCACCCCACCCACAACAGCCUCGGAGGAGCCAAGAAAAGGGAUAAAACUCGCGGGGCCAUUUGAGACGGGCGGCGACGGCGGGGCGCUCCGACUGCAAGGCGGCUCCACUACCGGGAAAAAUGUGCAGCGCCCUACACUUCCCUUCCCUUUCUUGAAUCAAAACCGACAGACGCGGGAAUCAGGAAAAUCGGUACGGGAUGCAAAGGUUAUCUGGCCGAAAGAGGGCGCCGCCGGUAAAGGAGGGAGUGGGCCUGUGCAAGGACACCGAGGGAAGGCCGCCUCCGAUAGAAGAAGUAUGUGCGCAGGGCCGGCGGGGCGGCGGCGCAACUGGAUUUAAAGAAAAAUAAUAAUAAAAAUUGCGCCUCAUUGGGUACCGCCUGGCCGCGGCCGGGCUGUCGCGCUCCUGACUGGAGCUAAUUAGAACCAAAUCAGAUUGCAGCGAGCGCUGCUGUUCAGUCCCGUGUGUUACUGACCGGGCCCGCGGCGCGCAGCAAGCGCAGCGUGCUGCUCAGCGCUGCUCAGCGCGCCCCUCAGCAGGGCGCUCAGCAGCCCAGAGGCGCUUCUCAGGAGCGCCCCCCAACACCUGCACCCACGGCGGCGGCGAUGGCGACG